CCCCCCACGGGGUUCGGGUGCAAGGGUUACGGCGGUCAUAGCGUGGGGGAAACGCCCGGUCCCAUUCCGAACCCGGAAGCUAAGACCCACAGCGCCGAUGGUACUGCACCCGGGAGGGUGUGGGAGAGUAGGACACCGCCGGAC
rnacentral:rRNA from 1 species